GCCCCUGUAGUUCAACGGAUAGAACGAGGGCCUUCUAAGCCUUAAAUUGAGGUUCGAUUCCUCACGGGGGCA
rnacentral:tRNA from 1 species